rnacentral:rRNA from 1 species
CCUACGGGGGGCAGCAGUGGGGGAUAUUGCACAAUGGGGGGAACCCUGAUGCAGCGACGCCGCGUGGGUGAAGGAGUGCUUCGGCAUGUAAAGCCCUAUCGGCAGGGAAGAAGCAAGACGGUACCUGACUAAGAAGCCCCGGCUAACUACGUGCCAGCAGCCGCGGUAAUAGGUAGGGGGCGAGCGUUAUCCGGAUUCACUGGGUGUAAAGGGAGCGUAGACGGCCAUGCAAGCCAGGGGUGCAAGCCCGGGGCCCAACCCCGGGACUGCCCUGGGAACUGUGCGGCUAGAGUGCGGGAGGGGCAGGCGGAAUUCCUGGUGUAGCGGUGAAAUGCGUAGAUAUCAGGAGGAACACCGGCGGCGAGGGCGGCCUGCUGGACUGCGACUGACGUUGAGGCUCGAAAGCGUGGGGAGCGAACAGGAUUAGAUACCCUUGUAGUU